rnacentral:sRNA from 1 species
GGCAGAAGGCCUCAGAGGUGGAUAUUGGCUGAUUUGGAUGGGUUUGAGGAGUCAUUGUGUGCGGAGAGGGUAUGUGUGGUAGUGGAUAAGGAGGCAGGAGGGUAUUUGAAAAUUCUGAAGUUGGAGAAGAAUGGCGGGUUAAGCGUUGGGAGGAGGGAGAUGAGGGAGUUGGUUGAGUUGGCAGCCGGGAGAUGGGAGGAAUGGAAGGGCUUGCUUACAGGGCGGUGAUUUUGGGUAUUCUUAUUGUCCCGUACCACUCCUCUAUCCAGUCCAUGUACUUGCAAAAGAGGAUUAACUACGUGAUUAGAUGAAUUUAUUUAAUCACUUUUUAGCAGUACGUAGCAUGGCAUGCCCAAUUCAUAAGCCAACCAACUUUCUUUUUUCUCAUUUCAGCAUUAUUUUAAAUCCUGAGCUAGCAAGAAGAUAUACCAUUAGAAGGCGCUGAAGAGGAGCCGAACCAAAGCUAUGUGCCGACUCA